UACAGAGGGUGCAAGCGUUGCUCGGAUUUACUGGGCGUAAAGCGUACGCAGACGGUUUGGAAGGUCGGACGUGAAAGCCCCGGGCUCAACCCGGGAAAUGCGUCCGAAACCACCUUACUUGAGUAUAGGAGAGGGAAGCGGAAUUCCUGGUGUAGAGGUGAAAUUCGUAGAUAUCAGGAGGAACAUCGGCGGCGAAGGCGGCUUCCUGGCCUAUUACUGACGUCAGGUACGAAAGCGUGGGUAGCAAACAGG
rnacentral:rRNA from 1 species